UUUAAACCGACAUUAAAGGUCCAUUUAAAUUUUUAUUUUAAUAAUUUCAUUUUGUAAAAAAAUAACAAGUUCUCCCUCUUACUUUACUCUUUCAAUCUUCUCGCUCGCAAACCCUUUCUUCUCCAAAUGGAAUCUGUCCAUUUCUUCUCACAUUCUCACCGGUGAAUGCAUUCCAAUCUUCUCACGCCGUCGCCGUCACCGUCGCCGUUCUCACGCCGUCGCCAUCACCGUGGACGUCUUCGAAUCUUCUCACAUUUUUGGAUUUGCUCGCGUGAGCUUCCCCCAAAUUCCCCUUUUCAUUUUCUUAACUUUCGGUGAGAUCUCUCCAAUCCUCUCUUGGAUUUCAUUUUCUCUUCAUUCUAUCAAUUUCAAAUACCAAACACUCUAUUCUCCAUACUAUUCUCUCAUUUUUCUUCUACAGUUCUAAAGAUAGGACAGAGGAAGAUGAUGAGGAGGAUGAUCGAGAGAUUGAUUCACAUGAAGAGUUGGAUGUCAACUAUUUUCGUAUAGAGGAUUGGAGUAUAGUUCGCCAACACUUGCUUCCGCCAUAAGUAAUCUAAUUCCAGCUCUUACUUUCAUCUUGGCCGUUCUUUUCGGGUUGUGUUUAAAUGGUUCCUAGAAUCUUAAAUCAUGUGAAAUAAAUUUCCAAAAUUUAUUUAGAUGGUUUGGGAAUUUUGGCAUUGACGCCACCAUUGUAGCUUCGGAGGUUAGGGUUAUGGAACCAGCUUGAAGUAGAGGUUGUGUUGAAGGUGACGGGAUGCGAUUUGUGAGUAGUGAUUUACGGAAAAUGAUGUCUCUGCGGCUUGGUUCCCUUCAACUUCUCUCAAAUCCAAACACCAACCUUCACAAUAUGAAGAUCUUCCACAUCAAUCCACUGAUGCUGACAUUUUCGUCACCGAAAACAAAAUAGUUCCAUCUCAUCCCGCUAGUUACUACGUAGCGGCUGUUGGCGGUGGUGAAAAAGCCGUAUACCAGGGCAUUAGGUUGAACCACCACCACCCGCAGGAAUCGUGCAGAGAAGUUCAAGCUGUAAUCAAUUAUUGGAAACCUCAGGCUUUGUGAAUGGAAACAGCUUGAUGAGUACUUUUGUAUGUUUAUUCAUUUUUGUGAAUGUUGUUCUUUAUUUAAUUGUUAGUCCUUGAAUUUGAGGUUGCUACAUUCACAAAUAUGAAUAUGUAUUUAGUGGAGGAACUUUCUGUUGUACAUAUACAUUGGUUAUUAA